rnacentral:rRNA from 1 species
GAUGAACGCUAGCGGCAGGCCUAACACAUGCAAGUCGAGGGGUAGGGCAGCAAUGCCUGAGACCGGCGCACGGGUGCGUAACGCGUAUGCAAUCUACCUUCAACAGGGGGAUAGCCCAGAGAAAUUUGGAUUAAUACCCCAUAGUAUUAUCGAAUGCAUCAUUUGAUUAUUAAAGUUCCAACGGUUGAAGAUGAGCAUGCGUCCUAUUAGCUAGAGGGUAAGGUAACGGCUUACCAUGGCUACGAGAGGUAGGGGUCCUGAGAGGGAGAUCCCCCACACUGGUACUGAGACACGGACCAGACUCCUACGGGAGGCAGCAGUGAGGAAUAUUGGACAAUGGGCGCAAGCCUGAUCCAGCCAUGCCGCGUGCAGGAAGACGGUCCUAUGGAUUGUAAACUGCUUUUGUACGGGAAGAAACACUCCUACGUGUAGGAGCUUGACGGUACCGUAAGAAUAAGGAUCGGCUAACUCCGUGCCAGCCGCCGCCGUAAAAC